rnacentral:rRNA from 1 species
GAUGAACGCUGGCGGCGUGCUUAACACAUGCAAGUCGAACGGAAAGGCCCAAGCUUGCUUGGGUACUCGAGUGGCGAACGGGUGAGUAACACGUGGGUGAUCUGCCCUGCACUUCGGGAUAAGCCUGGGAAACUGGGUCUAAUACCGGAUAGGACCACAUUUUGGAUGGUGUGGUGGAAAGUUUUUCGGUGUGGGAUGAGCUCGCGGCCUAUCAGCUUGUUGGUGGGGUAAUGGCCUACCAAGGCGUCGACGGGUAGCCGGCCUGAGAGGGGGUACGGCCACGUUGGGGAGGGGUAACGGCCCAAGCCCUUAGGGGGGGCGGACGGGGGGAGAAUGCACCAAGGGGCGAAGGCCGGUGGGGGCGGGGCCGGGGGGGGGUGUGCGGCCUUGGGGUUGUAAACUCCUUCCGGUAGGGAAGAAGGGUUUUUUGGAGGGAACUUGGAAAAAAAGCCCCGGCAAACUAGGG